AAUGAACGUUGGCGGCGUGGAUUAGGCAUGCAAGUCGAGCGAGAACCCAGCAAUGGGGGACAGCGGCGCAAGGGACAGUAAUGUGUAGAUCAUAUGCCCCGCGGCCCGGGAUAGCUGAGGGAAACUGCAGGUAAUACCGCAUAAAGUCGCCGGAUCAAAGGUGUGAUUCCGCCUGAGGAUGAGUCCGCCUCCUAUUAGCUAGUUGGCAGGGUACUGGCCUAGCGAGGCUACGGUGGGUACCGGGUGUGAGAGCACGACCCGGCUCACUGGGACUGAGACACUGCCCAGACACCUACGGGUGGCUGGAGUCGAGAAUCUUCGGCAAUGGGCGCAAGCCUGACCGAGCGAUGCCGCGUGCGGGAUGAAGGCCUUCGGGUUGUAAACCGCUGUCAGUAGGGAGGAAAUCGAUAGGGGCACUCUCCUAUCGUUGACCUAUCUUCAGAGGAAGGACGGGCUAAGUUCGUGCCAGCAGCCGCGGUAAGAC
rnacentral:rRNA from 1 species